GUGCAGGGUUAAAAUGUGAUAUACAAACUCUUAACCAAGUAACAAUUGUUCAGGAAGAGCAGUGUCAAUGUACAUGCUACACAUUCAGGGCUGAAAUUCUACAAAGACUUAGAUAUAAUGGUUAUUCGUCUACGGAGAAUGACACCUGGGUAUAUAAGGUUAUUGCAGAAAAGCACUGAGGCCUCAGCUGACCUGAUCUUGCAGAGCACCAUGCGAUGAAAGGACAGACAGAAUUCAGUGAAGAGAAGCAGAACAAACAUCCCUCCAACCAGAUGCGAGGAGUUGUAAAUCUGAACUCACAGGCUAUGCAGUAAGCCUGGGAUCAGUCUGAGCCAGAAGAGGUUUUAAUGAGCUAAUGCUCCACUUGCAAACAUUUAACAAAGUUGGGGACUCAUUCAGUUCUGUGUAGUUUUAGCUGUGGUUUGACUAUGCAACUGUCUUAGUACAAAUUCAUAACAAAAAGAAAGAUGAAAUUGGACCAAUUGACUUAUACUGUGUCACUAACAGAUUUGGUUUAUUCUUAAAUCAUAUAGCCUGACUUCUACUUCAUGAUUGCUCUCCUACAUAACUGCAAAAUUAAUUCUUCACUGAGCAGCACAUUAAAAAGCCCAGAGUUUUCUCAAGGAUAUUGACACUGAAGCAUGGUGCUACACCUUUAUCUCACUAAACCUGAGCCAUUGCAUAUUAAAGAUUUGGCCUAAGCUACCUCCAUAGGUUCUCUCUAAAGCUGGUGCAAAAAUUCAGCACCUCCAGAGAGCAAUUCAUCCCCUUUAAUAGAUAUCUAGAUGAGGUGAUCCUCUGAAGGUGUGUUUCUGCCCUUUCCGUACUGAUGACAGAAGGUGCAUGGAGGAUUCACUUAGGCUGGACACCACACUUUUAGAAAGCUCAAGAUAGGUGAGAUAAAUUGCUAUUGCUAGAGUCCCAAUCCAAUAAUAGCAAUUUCCCAUUGAAGACAGAUAUUGAAAUAAUCAGUUAGCAAAUUUUGAGACAUCAUUGCCAGGCUCUGGGCAACUUUCAGACAUACCAGCUGAAUAUUUUCUCUGGGUCCAAGGAAGGAGAGUCUCUUCACUGACCAGCAAAUGCAACCACUCAGUGGCUGACCCAAAAUACGAAGGCAUGUGGAAAAUUCAGAGCACCUGAAGCAGCAUGUAGUAAGACUAUGCUUACACUGGACAUGUAAAUACAGCUGUGCAUAUUCAUAGUAGCUCACCUAACUGGC
rnacentral:lncRNA from 1 species